rnacentral:rRNA from 1 species
GAAAAGAGCAUUUGGUGGAUGCCUUGGCAUAAAGAGGCGAUGAAAGACGUGGCACUCUGCGAUAAGCUACGGGGAGGUGAGAGCAACCUUUGAUCCGUAGAUUUCUGAAUGGGGAAACCCGGCGCUUUAGCGUCAUCGUUAACUGAAUACAUAGGUUAACGAAGCAAACCCGGCGAAGUGAAACAUCUCAGUAGCCGGAGGAAAGGACAUCAACCGAGACUCCGUUAGUAGUGGCGAGCGAACGCGGACCAGGCCAGUGGCCAUCGGAUAAGAACCGGAACUGUCUGGAAAGGCAGGCCAUAGUGGGUGAUAGCCCCGUAUCCGAAACCUGAGUCUGGUGAAAUCGAGUAGGACGGGACACGUGAUAUCCUGUCUGAACAUGGGGGGACCAUCCUCCAAGGC